UACGGAGGGUGCAAGAGUUGUCCGGAAUCACUGGGCGUAAAGGGUGCGCAGGCGGUCUUUCAAGUCCGACGUGAAAUCCCGGGGCUCAACCCCGGAACUGCGUUGGAAACUGAAAGACUUGAGUAUGGGAGAGGUCCGUGGAAUUCCAGGUGUAGGGGUGAAAUCCGUAGAGAUCUGGAGGAACACCGGCGGCGAAAGCGACGGACUGGACCAUAACUGACGCUGAGGCACGAAAGCGUGGGGAGCAAACAGG
rnacentral:misc_RNA from 1 species